CCGCCCACUCCAGUCCUCACCCUCCUGGCUGGGAGCCCCGCCCACUCCAGGCCUCACCCUCCAGGCUGGAAGACCCGCCCCUCCCGGGCCUCCGGAUCCUGGCUGGGAGCCAUCUCUGCCUCCUGCCGCUUCCUGCACUCCUGAUCAGAGCAGAAGGUCAACUGCCUCAGGUGUGUGCAGUCACUUACUGGCCCUGGAAAUGUACAUCCAGAACAGAAUAUUAUCUUCCUGGCAGCCGUCCCAUUCAGCCUGUGCAUGGAGCUGUCCCAAGACCUGAGCCUUCUUAGUUUGGUGAUGCUUCACUAUGGCUUCAACUCUCCAACUUCUGCCCUCCAAGACCAUAGUGAUAAGAAAACAAAGAUCAACUACCCCCGAGCUGGGAGGAGGACUCCUUUUUUCUCUGUACAGCCUUUUAUAUGUUUAACUUGCUUACCAUGUAAUAUGGAUAACCUAUGAAAAAGAUUUCACGUGUAUACCUUUUUAAAUCACUUACUCUACUUGUUUGUGAAGACAAAAAUAAAUUUAAAAAAUGCCACAGACUUCUUGCAAGUUAAAGAAAAAAAUUCAGCUUCCUGUGUAAUAAGAAAUAUUGUAAGUCACACUCGUAGUCCGAGCUAUUUGGGAAAUUGUGGUGGGAGGAACACUUGAGCCCAGGAGUUCGAGACUGCAGUGAGCUAUAAUGGUGCCCACUGCACUCCCAUCUGGGCAACAGAGCAAGGAAUCAUCUCUA
rnacentral:lncRNA from 1 species